GGCCGCCUGAGCGCAGUUUGGAGCGCGGCGCGUGUGUGUAGACACGGCUGGUUCGAUUCCAAGGGCGGCCA
rnacentral:tRNA from 1 species